UCAGCACAAAAGGGCGCUAAAAGGGAAAAAAACCUUAAAUAGUUGGGGUUUUAUUUCUUUGUUAGGUAUCAGAUAAAUGUUAUGUUAAAAAAGUAAAUUCUCACUACCAUAAAUUGAUGGCUCAGCAUCGGAUUAGCAUUGCACUCCGUAGUUAAGGUUUUAGGUAAUAUGCUUUAUCAAGUAUUGUCUUUAGAAACUCCUGUGAUUGUUUCAUUUUCGAUGUUUUUACAAGAUAAAUGGUGACUUAUAAUGGGCAUAUUUAUUUGCCUGUAUUUCAUUUCCCCCAAUGAAUGUCACAGGAGAUGCCAUAGAGCUAUUUCAGGUUAUAUCACACUGCUUCUUCCUGAUGUGUGGGGACUGGCCUUCAGUAAAGCAACCCAGAGGAGGGCAGAUGGCCAAUGGUAAAAGGAGGAAAUGAAUUUGCAGAUACUUAUUACCAAGUAGGUAAGGUCAGGAAGCUGGGGUUCCGGGGAUGUGCCUACAUCUUCUCUUGCUCUCUUAGGCUUACAAAUAUGAAAGUUACCACUGAACCUUACCAUAUGUAUAUAUGUUUAAUAUCUGUCUUUUGAAAUGCAGAAAUAGUUUAAAUGUUUCUUUGUCUAUUUUUCCUUUUGUUUUUAAUGCUACCCAGGGAAAUAUUUUCAUAUCGUUUUACGUGGCCUGCCUCAAUGUAUAUUUAUUUCUUUGGAGAAAAAAAAAGGUUCUGAAAACUGGUUUUCUGUAGCUUUAAAUGAGUAGGUAGCAAGAUCUAUAUGGGAUGUCAUUUUUUUGUUCAGUUUCUUUAAAAAAAUGCUUUGUUUUGAUACAUUUGGUUGUGCUUGUGGGGAAAAUAAAAGCGCAGAGAUCCUUAUAUAUUUAUGUUAAAGUAAUAUUUUAUUAUUACAUAAAACAGAAAUGCACAAU
rnacentral:lncRNA from 1 species